UGGCCGUUGUAGCAACACGGUCCUUCCCCGUUCUGUUGCAGGGUCUAACCCGUUGCUGCUGGCGCUGAUGCACGGAGCUGGGAGCCAUGGCAGAGUCUCCAGGAGGGCAGGGAGGUCACGUAACACAACAAACUGCAAUGGAGCCAGGUGCCAGAUGGGAGAACGCCCAUAAACCAGAAAACGAAGAACUUCACACAAAUGAAGAGGGUUUGGCAAUUUGUGAGCUCGCAGAAGACCAGCGGCAGGCAGAGGCUGCGUAACACGGGUGAUGCCGUCUCAUCGGUGUAAGGAAAAGCAUUUUUAGAGACCUCGCAGACAGGCACCCAGAAGACAAUGAAGUAAAACCAUCUGGGGCAAUGGAAAAGAUUUUGUGGGCGCAGCAGCGUGAAGACAGGCGUACAUCUCUUGCAGUAGUCAUCAUUCAGAAGACAACCAAAAAAACGUUCCCUGCACGGAAAACUAGACUGCACACAAGCACUUGAUGGCAG